GAGACCUACCAGCUUAAGCUUCUAAGAUUAGUUCAUCCCUUCAAUCAAGAGCUUCCUCUCUGGGGACCCUGACUUCCUUCCGGCUAUAAUUUCUAUAACCAAAUAAUUUAGUCGUUGUUUUCCUGUUCUUUUUCUUCCUUGAAGACUAAGUGGCUACAUCCAUACCCCGUAUAAAGGUAAUCAGAUAUAGCGUUGAUUUAGUCCUGCCC
rnacentral:lncRNA from 1 species